UACGUAGGGGCUAGCGUUGUCCGGAAUCAUUGGGCGUAAAGAGCGCGUAGGCGGCUAGAUAAGUCCGGUGUGAAAGUCACAGGCUCAACCUGUGAAUGCCGCUGGAAACUGUCUGGCUAGAGUCCGGAAGGGGCGAGUGGAAUUCCUGGUGUAGCGGUGAAAUGCGCAGAUAUCAGGAGGAACACCAUGGCGAAGGCAGCUCGCUGGACGGUACUGACGCUGAGGCGCGAAAGCAUGGGGAGCGAACGGG
rnacentral:rRNA from 1 species